rnacentral:lncRNA from 1 species
AACAAUUUUUGGGGUAUACAUCAUGUUCAUCCUACGCGGAUGCGGUCAUAGGUACUGCUCAUUUGUUAGACUCAAGUCUGGUCAGCAACUGCCACAUGUAUUCCAUUGUGUUCGCUGCAAAAAUAGAAAUAGCAUGAAUUCUUAAAUGGCAAAAUUGCAAGCUUUGCAUUACCUGUAAAGUCGACUAUCAAAUAGAACAAGGACCAAGUACAAAGACAGAGAUAAUGUACAGGUUCAGCUUCUCAAUCGAAUUCACUCCAUACAGAGAGAUGUGCUCCUGUAGCUAACAUUCAUUCUACAUAAGGCCCCAUUUAGUAUAUCUGAUCAAAUGGCCAGAGCUAAUAAACUCGACACCUACUCAAAUUCUGCUCCACCACCUACUCAAAUUCCACUCCACCUGCUCCCAUUUAUUCCUCUCCUCUGUCCAUAAUUACAAUCUUCUCUCUUAUGUUCCUGACAUGAACAAUAUACUACAUACAUAUUUGGUGUAUCAUAAAAAUGGACUACAUCUGCUUGUAGUCUCACAUGUUUCAUUUUUUUUUACAAUAUGCCGAUGCAGCCCUACACGAUAAAUUGCAUUCUUGUACUAUUUCUCUAUCCCCAACUUCUAACUCAUCUUUGUUGUGUUCAGAUAAAUGAUUUCAUGACGACAUCCUAAUCUAGAGUACAUAUUUUGCUGUAAUACGUAAAGCUGAUAAGAAUAGAGAUUACCCUGAAACCAAUUGAUGUUUGACCUAAACUGAAGCAAAAUCUUGAAAAAAGAAAUCAAGCAUCAACAACACAGUAGUAGUUGAUCAAGAAUUCUAUUGACAAAUAAAGUGUUCAUUGUACCCUUAUGUACAAGGUUUUACCUGAUUGGUAGGUAUUUUAGAUGUCCCAAUCUGACUGAGGGGUGGAUUUCGGUCACUUAAGCUUUGUGCAAUAUCUCCUCACCAGCGUGAAACAACAGUCACCAC